rnacentral:rRNA from 14 species
CGUGCCAGCAGCCGCGGUAAUACUGAGGGUGCAAGCGUUAAUCGGAAGUACUGGGCGUAAAGCGCGCGUAGGUGGUUUGAUAAGCGAGAUGUGAAAGCCCCGGGCUUAACCUGGGAACGGCAUUUCGAACUGUCAGGCUAGAGUAUGGUAGAGGGUAGUGGAAUUUCCUGUGUAGCGGUGAAAUGCGUAGAUAUAGGAAGGAACACCAGUGGCGAA